CCCUUAGAUGCUCUGGGCUGCACGCGCGCUACACUGGUGCGUUCAGCGAGUUUAGCACCUUAACAGAUAUGUUUGGGUAAUCUUCUGAAAACGCACCGUGAUGGGGAUCGAUUAUUGUAAUUAUUAAUCGUCAACGAGGAAUUCCUAGUAAGUGUGAAUCAUCAGUUCGCGCUGAUUACGUCCCUGCCCUUUGUACACACCGCCCGUCGCUGCUACCGAUUGAGUGGUCCGGUGAAUUAUUCGGACCGGUGGACUGUGGGGAAACCCGCGGCCUGCUGGGAAGUCUUGUGAACCUUAUCACUUAGAGGAAGCAGAAGUCGUAACA
rnacentral:rRNA from 1 species